rnacentral:rRNA from 1 species
UACGUAGGUGGCAAGCGUUGUCCGGAUUUACUGGGCGUAAAGAGCGCGCAGGCGGUCGUUCAAGUCGCGUGUGAAAGCCCCCGGCUCAACUGGGGAGGGUCACGCGAUACUGAUCGACUCGAAGGCAGGAGAGGGAAGUGGAAUUCCCGGUGUAGUGGUGAAAUGCGUAGAUAUCGGGAGGAACACCAGUGGCGAAGGCGACUUCCUGGCCUGUUCUUGACGCUGAGGCGCGAAAGCUGGGGGAGCGAACAGG